UUCCAGAACUGGGUGUUCACCUAAGCCCACCCUUGCUCUUGAAAGAUCCCCGGAGCAGAAAGACCCUCACUCAAGUCUCAGUAUGACGUGACCACCCAAGAACUCAUGAGAGACU
rnacentral:pre_miRNA from 14 species